CUGCUAUUCUCAUAUUGUCAGUUCAGUUCCUACAGGAGAUACCCAUCCCCAGUUUUUGUCCCUUCUCUUUUCUCAGAAGGAAACCAGGUCAUUUGAAGCUAUCUUCCUUUGUGAAACAAGUCACUCCGUUUUCUUUUCUCUCUUUGAAGUUGGACAUACGGUAGUGCAUGCGGAGAGACUGGGCACAGAUGGGCACCUUUUCUACAGGGAGCUGUGCAGAUCUCAAGUGGGCAGGACAGUUUCAAGGCAGACCUAUGAAGCUGUGACUGGAACCUCUGCAGAGCAAAGGAUGUGUUUGACCAUGUGCCUGUCAAGUGACAAUCUUGGCCGAGGAAUCUCAGCAC
ensembl:lncRNA